rnacentral:rRNA from 1 species
CAGGCCUAACACAUGCAAGUCGAACGAAGCAUAUGAUCGGAUUUCUUUGGAGUGAAGAUCAUAUGACUGAGUGGCGGACGGGUGAGUAACGCGUGGGCAACCUGCCGUAUACAGGGGGACAACAGUUGGAAACGACUGCUAAUACCGCAUAAGCGCACGGUACCGCAUGGUACUGGGUGAAAAACUCCGGUGGUAUACGAUGGGCCCGCGUCUGAUUAGGUAGUUGGUGAGGUAACGGCCCACCAAGCCGACGAUCAGUAGCCGACCUGAGAGGGUGACCGGCCACAUUGGGACUGAGACACGGCCCAAACUCCUACGGGAGGCAGCAGUGGGGAAUAUUGCACAAUGGGGGAAACCCUGAUGCAGCGACGCCGCGUGAGCGAAGAAGUAUUUCGGUAUGUAAAGCUCUAUCAGCAGGGAAGAAAAUGACGGUACCUGACUAAGAAGCCCCGGCUAACUACGUGCCAGCAGCCGCGGUAAUACGUAGGGGGCAAGCGUUAUCCGGAUUUACUGGGUGUAAAGGGAGCGUAGACGGCGCUGCAAGUCUGAUGUGAAAGGCAGGGGCUUAACCCCUGGACUGCAUUGGAAACUGUAGUGCUAGAGUGCCGGAGAGGUAAGCGGAAUUCCUAGUGUAGCGGUGAAAUGCGUAGAUAUUAGGAGGAACACCAGUGGCGAAGGCGGCUUACUGGACGGUAACUGACGUUGAGGCUCGAAAGCGUGGGGAGCAAACAGGAUUAGAUACCCUGGUAGUCCACGCGGUAAACGAUGAAUACUAGGUGUCGGGUGGCAAAGCCAUUCGGUGCCGUCGCAAACGCAUUAAGUGUCCCACCUGGGGAGUACGCCGGCAACGGUGAAACUCAAAGGAAUUGACGGGGGCCCGCACAAGCGGAGGAACAUGUGGUUUAAUUCGAUGAUACGCGAGGAACCUUACCCGGGCUUGAACUGCAGGAGAACGAUCCAGAGAUGGUGAGGCCCUUCGGGGCUCCUGUGGAGGUGCUGCAUGGUUGUCGUCAGCUCGUGCCGUGAGGUGUCGGCUUAAGUGCCAUAACGAGCGCAACCCCUGCCUGUAGUUGCCAUCGGGUCAUGCCGGGCACUCUGCAGGGACUGCCACCGCAAGGUGUGAGGAAGGUGGGGACGACGUCAAAUCAGCACGGCCCUUACGUCCGGGGCUACACACGUGUUACAAUGGGGGGUACAGCGAGUCGGCCGUAUGCAAAUGCGGUCCAAUCAUGAAAGCCUCCCUCAGUUCGGAUUGGGGUCUGCAACCCGACCCCAUGAAGCUGGAUUCGCUAGUAACCGCGCAUCAGCCAUGGCGCGGUGAAUACGUUCCCGG